GACGAACGCUGGCGGCGUGCUUAACACAUGCAAGUCGAACGGAAAGGCCCUGCUUGUGGGGGGUGCUCGAGUGGCGAACGGGUGAGUAACACGUGAGUAACCUGCCCUUGACUGUGGGAUAACUUCAGGAAACUGGGGCUAAUACCGGAGAGGAGCUCCUGCUGCAUGGGGGGGGUUGGAAAGUUUCGGCGGUUGGGGAUGGACGCGCGGCUUAUCAGCUGGUUGGUGGGGUAGUGGCUUACCAAGGCUUGGACGGGUAGCCGGCCUGAGAGGGUGACCGGCCCCAUUGGGCCUGAGAUACGGCCCAGACUCCUCCGGGAGGCAGCAGUGGGGAAUAUUGCACAAUGGGCGGAAGCCUGAUGCAGCAACGCCGCGUGCGGGAUGACGGCCUUCGGGUUGUAAACCGCUUUCGCCUGUGACGAAGCGUGAGUGACGGUAAUGGGUAAAGAAGCACCGGCUAACUACGUG
rnacentral:rRNA from 1 species